ensembl:lncRNA
UAUGCACUAAUGCAUGCAUGUUCUGUCUGAAUUGUGCACUCACUCUCUUCACUCUCUUCACGCUGUGUCUCUCGAUCUUUCUUUCUGUCUCACUCUCUUCACUCUCUUCACGCUGUGUCUCUCGAUCUGUCUCACUCUCUUCACGCUGUGUCUCUCGAUCUUUCUUUCUGUCUCACUCUCUUCACUCUCUUCACUGUCUUCACGCUGUGUCUCUCGAUCUCUGUCUCACUCUCUUCACUCUCUUCACGCUGUGUCUCUCGAUCUUUCUGUCUCACUCUCGUCACGCUGUGUCUCUCGAUCUUUCUGUCUCACUCUCGUCACGCUGUGUCUCUCGAUCUUUCUGUCUCACUCUCUGCACGCUGUAUCUGUUUGUCUCUCCCUUUCUUUUCCUCACUGUCCCUUCUUCUGUCUCCUUUUCUUUCUCUCUCUCUGUCAGAACCCAGAGAACAUAAAACCAUCUAACUGAUAUGAGGUGUGCAUGUUGUAGCUAAAACGUAACCUGCAGCAUCGCUUAUUGUCGCGUGUGUGUGUGUGUGUGUGUGUGUGUGUGUGUUGUGUAUAUAUAUAUAUGUGUGAUAUUCCGGGGUAAACAGCAUUUCCUAAAUUUGCCAUUUGUAAAAUUUUGAAGUUUUAUUAGCCCUGUAGUCAUCAUAUCAUUUCAAAGGGCAUGUGGUAGAGGGCUGUAAAAAAAAAAAAAAAAAAAAAAAAAGACUCACCGCUUCUUUAAGCAUGGGAUAAAUGUUAUAAUUCAACGUGUCGAAAGGAGCUGAUCCCCUGUCACUGCAUCAGACUCAGAAAGGAGAGAGUGAGGCGUGUGUGUGUGAGAGAGAGACACGGAGCAUGGGGUCAGUGAGCUGCAUGAGGGAGGAUUAAUGAUGAGGGAUGAUGAUUAGGGAUGAGGCAGGUGGAUGAUCGGGUUUCAUCACUCUCUCUCUCUCUCUCUCUCUCUCUCUCUCUCUCUCUCUCCGUUUUACUCUCUCUCUCUCUCUCUGUUUUACUGUCUCUCUUUCUC